UACGUAGGGUGCAAGCGUUGUCCGGAAUUAUUGGGCGUAAAGAGCGUGUAGGCGGCCAAGCAGGUCAGCUGUGAAAACUCGAGGCUCAACCUCGAGACGUCGGUUGAAACCGCUUGGCUAGAGUCCGGAAGAGGAGAGUGGAAUUCCCGGUGUAGCGGUGAAAUGCGCAGAUAUCGGGAAGAACACCCGUGGCGAAGGCGGCUCUCUGGGACGGUACUGACGCUGAGACGCGAAAGCGUGGGGAGCGAACAGG
rnacentral:rRNA from 1 species